UUGAUGUGUAGGAUAGGUGGGAGGCUUUGAAGCGUGGACGCCAGUCUGCGUGGAGCCGACCUUGAAAUACCACCCUUUAAUGUUUGAUGUUCUAACGUGGACCCGUAAUCCGGGUUGCGGACAGUGUCUGGUGGGUAGUUUGACUGGGGCGGUCUCCUCCUAAAGAGUAACGGAGGAGCACGAAGGUUGGCUAAUCCUGGUCGGACAUCAGGAGGUUAGUGCAAUGGCAUAAGCCAGCUUGACUGCGAGCGUGACGGCGCGAGCAGGUGCGAAAGCAGGUCAUAGUGAUCCGGUGGUUCUGAAUGGAAGGGCCAUCGCUCAACGGAUAAAAGGUACUCCGGGGAUAACAGGCUGAUACCGCCCAAGAGUUCAUAUCGACGGCGGUGUUUGGCACCUCGAUGUCGGCUCAUCACAUCCUGGGGCUGAAGUAGGUCCCAAGGGUAUGGCUGUUCGCCAUUUAAAGUGGUACGCGAGCUGGGUUUAGAACGUCGUGAGACAGUUCGGUCCCUAUCUGCCGUGGGCGCUGGAGAACUGAGGGGGGCUGCUCCUAGUACGAGAGGACCGGAGUGGACGCAUCACUGGUGUUCGGGUUGUCAUGCCAAUGGCACUGCCCGGUAGCUAAAUGCGGAAGAGAUAAGUGCUGAAAGCAUCUAAGCACGAAACUUGCCCCGAGAUGAGUUCUCCCUGAGACUUAGAGUCUCCUGAAGGAACGUUGAAGACGACGACGUUGAUAGGCCGGGUGUGUAAGCGCAGCGAUGCGUUGAGCUAACCGGUACUAAUGAACCGUGAGGCUUAACCUU
rnacentral:rRNA from 1 species